UACGAAGGGGGCGAGCGUUGUUCGGAAUUACUGGGCGUAAAGGGCGCGUAGGUGGCCAUUUAAGUCAGAGGUGAAAUCCCGAAGCUCAACUUCGGAACUGCCUUUGAAACUGAGUGGCUAGAGUAUGGGAGAGGAUAGUAGAAUUUCCAGUGUAGAGGUGAAAUUCGUAGAUAUUGGAAGGAAUACCGAUGGCGAAGGCAGCUAUCUGGAACAUAACUGACACUGAGGCGCGAAAGCGUGGGUAGCAAACAGG
rnacentral:rRNA from 1 species